rnacentral:rRNA from 1 species
UACGGAAGGCAGCAGUGGGGAAUAUUGCACAAUGGGCGCAAGCCUGAUGCAGCCAUGCCGCGUGUAUGAAGAAGGCCUUCGGGUUGUAAAGUACUUUUCAGUCGUGAGGAAGGUGUUAAGGUUAAUAACCUUAGCAAUUGACGUUAGCGACAGAAGAAGCACCGGCUAACUCCGUGCCAGCAGCCGCGGUAAUACGGAGGGUGCGAGCGUUAAUCGGAAUUACUGGGCGUAAAGGGCACGCAGGCGGUUAAUAAGUUGGAUGUGAAAUCCCCGGGCUUAACCUGGGAAUGGCAUUCAAGACUGGUUAGCUAGAGUCUUGUAGAGGGGGUAGAAUUCCAUGUGUAGCGGUGAAAUGCGUAGAGAUGUGGAGGAAUACCGGUGGCGAAGGCGGCCCCUGGACAAAGACUGACGCUCAUGUGCGAAAGCGUGGGGAGCAAAC